rnacentral:rRNA from 1 species
AUUGAACGCUGGCGGCAGGCUUAACACAUGCAAGUCGAGCGAGCGGCGGACUGGUGAGUAAUGUCUUGGAACCUGCCUGAUCGAGGGGGAUAAGUACUGUAACAGGUAGCUAACACCGCAUAACAUCAGAUGUGCCCAGAGUGGAUUAGCUAGUAGGUGGGGUAAUGGCUCACCUAGGCGACGCUCCCUAGCUGGUCUGAGAGGAUGACCAGCCACACUGGAACUGAGACACGGUCCAGACUCCGACGGGAGGCAGCAGUGGGGAAUAUUGCACAAUGGGCGCAAGCCUGAUGCAGCCAUGCCGCGUGAGUGAAGAAGGUCUUCGGGUUGUAAAGCACUGUCAGCGAGGAGGCGUUACUCGCAGAAGAAGCAACGGCUAACUCCGUGCCAGCAGCCGCGGUAAUAC